GACGAACGCUGGCGGCGUGCUUAACACAUGCAAGUCGAACGGAAAGGCCCUGCUUUUGUGGGGUGCUCGAGUGGCGAACGGGUGAGUAACACGUGAGUAACCUGCCCUUGACUUUGGGAUAACUUCAGGAAACUGGGGCUAAUACCGGAUAGGAGCUCCUGCUGCAUGGUGGGGGGUGGAAAGUUUCGGCGGUUGGGGAUGGACUCGCGGCUUAUCAGCUUGUUGGUGGGGUAGUGGCUUACCAAGGCUUUGACGGGUAGCCGGCCUGAGAGGGUGACCGGCCACAUUGGGCCUGAGAUACGGCCCAGACUCCUACGGGAGGCAGAAGUGGCGAAUAUUGCCCAAUGGGCGGAAGCCUGAUGCAGCAACGCCGCGUGCGGGAUGACGGCUUUCGGGUUGUAAACCGCUUUCGCCUGUGACGAAGCGUGAGUGACGGUAAUGGGUAAAGAAGCACCGGCUAACUACGUG
rnacentral:rRNA from 1 species